AGACAGCACCUGACCAAACAUACCAAGUUCAUGCAGGACAUGAUCUGAGAGGUGAAUGGCUUUGCUCCAUGUGCGUGGCACGCCAUGGAGUUAGCCCAGGUCUCCAAGGACAAAUGGGCCCUCAAGUUCAUCAAGAAAAGGGUGAGGAUGCACAUCUCCACAAAGAGGAAGUGGGAGGAGCUGAGCAUGACUGCCAGGAGGAAAGCAGCUGCCAAGGAGGACUGA
rnacentral:lncRNA from 1 species